GCAACGCGUGACGACACUAAAAUGGCUGCGGGGUUUGUGUUCCCUAGCAUGCAAACUUCUGUAAAAUUUUACAACGUUACAGAGCUAUAUUUUCGCCUGUAAUAUAUCACUCUCAAACCUGCACUACUAAAUCAAGCAGGACUGCAGCAGCAGCACCACCAUUCGUCUCGACGCUGACUUUCCUACCGUCUACAUCUCCACUCUCAGGAUCUUGCCACAACAAACAGAACGCUUGAGACAGGGUGAGUUUUUGCUCACGAAUUUCGUCUUUGUCAAAGUGUUCCGAAUUAAUGACUGCCAAGACGGCUUUUGCCAUCUCCUUCGCUGUUAAAUCUACUCGGACACCGUAAGAUGAGGCAGCUGCUGAUCCUCCACUGUAUGCCAUAUUGACGAUCGAUAAUUCAAAGGGACUAAGAUGUUUUCAACUCUCAAUUCUCUCUGAUUAAAAGAUUUAGGUUUGGCUUGGC